AAUAGCCAAACGGCUGAACCAGCAAUUUGGAAGAAUGCGUAGCGUGUAAAAUGUGUAAAAUUCUAGAUAUAAAACUGAUAAUGACAGUUAUUUAUCUAUUAGUCUUGACCAAAUUACGUGCCAGCAGUCGCGGCAAUACGUAGAAGACAAGUGUUAUUCAUCUUUAAUCGGUUUAAAGGGUACCUAGACGGAAAAUCAAGCCAAACUAGGAACUAAUUUUCUAGAGUUUUAUGGAAAAAAGUCGAAUAACUGGAGUAAUGAUUAAAUACCUUGAUACCAGGGAGACGGGUAACGGCAUAAGCAGCUUUUUAUGUAAAAACUGACGUUGAGGGACGAAGCCCUGGGUAGUGAUAGGGAUUAGAUACCCCAGUAGUCCAGGGAGACAAUGAUGAGUGCCAUAAGCUAGGUAAAUUAGUUUAUAAAUGAAAGUGCAAGCACUCCACCUUAAGACUAAAGCGGCAACGCCCAAAUUGAAAUCAUUAGACCGUUCCUGAAACCAGUAGUGAAGUAUGUUAUUUAAUUCGAUAAUCCGCGAAUAACCUUACCACGUUUUGAAUAAUAUUCAAUUAAUACAAGCGCUGCACGGCUGUCUUUAGUUAAUGUCGUGAGACUUUGGUUAACUCCUUUAAUUAACGAAAACCCUUGUUUUAUUUAAACAUAAAAUAGUUCUCCGUUAUAUUGGACAAGAUAACAGGGAUUAAGGCAAGUCAUCAUGGCCUUAAUAACGU
rnacentral:rRNA from 1 species